rnacentral:rRNA from 1 species
GUAAGUGUCUAAGGGCGCAUGGUGGAUGCCUUGGCAUCGAGAGCCGAUGAAGGACGUGGGAGGCUGCGAUAUGCCUCGGGGAGCUGUCAACCGAGCGUGGAUCCGAGGAUUUCCGAAUGGGGAAACCCAGCACGAGUGAUGUCGUGCUACCCGCAUCUGAAUAUAUAGGGUGCGGGAGGGAACGCGGGGAAGUGAAACAUCUCAGUACCCGUAGGAGGAGAAAACAAUUGUGAUUCCGCAAGUAGUGGCGAGCGAACGCGGAACAGGCUAAACCGCACGCAUGGGUAACCGGGUAGGGGUUGUGUGUGCGGGGUUGUGGGAGGAUAUGUCUCAGCGCUACCCGGCUGAGAGGCAGUCAGAAAGUGUCGUGGUUAGCGGAAGUGGCCUGGGAUGGUCUGCCGUAGACGGUGAGAGCCCGGUACGCGAAAACCCGGCACCUGCCUAGUAUCAAUUCCCGAGUAGCAGCGGGCCCGUGGAAUCCGCUGUGAAUCCGCCGGGACCACCCGGUAAGCCUAAAUACUCCUCGAUGACCGAUAGCGGAUUAGUACCGUGAGGGAAUGGUGAAAAGUACCCCGGGAGGGGAGUGAAAGAGUACCUGAAACCGUGUGCCUACAAUCCGUCAGAGCCUCCUUUUCCUCUCCGGAGGAGGGUGGUGAUGGCGUGCCUUUUGAAGAAUGAGCCUGCGAGUCAGGGACAUGUCGCAAGGUUAACCCGUGUGGGGUAGCCGCAGCGAAAGCGAGUCUGAAUAGGGCGACCCACACGCGCAUACGCGCGUGUGAAUAGUGGCGUGUUCUGGACCCGAAGCGGAGUGAUCUACCCAUGGCCAGGGUGAAGCGCGGGUAAGACCGCGUGGAGGCCCGAACCCACUUAGGUUGAAGACUGAGGGGAUGAGCUGUGGGUAGGGGUGAAAGGCCAAUCAAACUCCGUGAUAGCUGGUUCUCCCCGAAAUGCAUUUAGGUGCAGCGUUGCGUGGUUCACCGCGGAGGUAGAGCUACUGGAUGGCCGAUGGGCCCUACUAGGUUACUGACGUCAGCCAAACUCCGAAUGCCGUGGUGUAAAGCGUGGCAGUGAGACGGCGGGGGAUAAGCUCCGUACGUCGAAAGGGAAACAGCCCAGAUCGCCGGCUAAGGCCCCCAAGCGUGUGCUAAGUGGGAAAGGAUGUGCAGUCGCAAAGACAACCAGGAGGUUGGCUUAGAAGCAGCCACCCUUGAAAGAGUGCGUAAUAGCUCACUGGUCAAGUGAUUGUGCGCCGAUAAUGUAGCGGGGCUCAAGCACACCGCCGAAGCCGCGGCACAUCCACCUUGUGGUGGGUGUGGGUAGGGGAGCGUCCCUCAUUCAGCGAAGCCACCGGGUGACCGGUGGUGGAGGGUGGGGGAGUGAGAAUGCAGGCAUGAGUAGCGACAAGGCAAGUGAGAACCUUGCCCGCCGAAAGACCAAGGGUUCCUGGGCCAGGCCAGUCCGCCCAGGGUGAGUCGGGACCUAAGGCGAGGCCGACAGGCGUAGUCGAUGGACAACGGGUUGAUAUUCCCGUACCCGUGUGUGGGCGCCCGUGACGAAUCAGCGGUACUAACCACCCAAAACCGGAUCGAUCACUCCCCUUCGGGGGUGUGGAGUUCUGGGGCUGCGUGGGAACUUCGCUGGUAGUAGUCAAGCGAAGGGGUGACGCAGGAAGGUAGCCGUACCAGUCAGUGGUAACACUGGGGCAAGCCGGUAGGGAGAGCGAUAGGCAAAUCCGUCGCUCACUAAUCCUGAGAGGUGACGCAUAGCCGGUUGAGGCGAAUUCGGUGAUCCUCUGCUGCCAAGAAAAGCCUCUAGCGAGCACACACACGGCCCGUACCGCAAACCGACACAGGUAGGCGAGAAGAGAAUUCUAAGGCGCGCGGAAGAACUCUCGUUAAGGAACUCGGCAAAAUGACCCCGUAACUUCGGGAGAAGGGGUGCCCCGGUAGUGUGAAUAGCACGAGGGGGCCGCAGUGAAAAGGCCCAAGCGACUGUUUAGCAAAAACACAGGUCUGUGCGAAGCCGCAAGGCGAAGUAUACGGGCUGACGCCUGCCCGGUGCUGGAAGGUUAAGGGGAGCGGUUAGGGAGCAAUCCCGAAGCUGUGAACCGAAGCCCCAGUAAACGGCGGCCGUAACUAUAACGGUCCUAAGGUAGCGAAAUUCCUUGUCAGGUAAAUUCUGACCCGCACGAAUGGCGUAACGACUUGGGCGCUGUCUCAACGAGAGAUCCGGUGAAAUUUUAAUACCUGUGAAGAUGCAGGUUACCCGCGACAAGACGGAAAGACCCCAGGGAGCUUUACUACAACUUGGUAUUGAUGUUCGGUACGGUUUGUGUAGGAUAGGUGGGAGACUGUGAAACCUCGACGCCAGUUGGGGCGGAGUCGUUGUUGAAAUACCACUCUGAUCGUAUUGGGCAUCUAACCUCGAACCCUGAAUCGGGUUUAGGGACAGUGCCUGGCGGGUAGUUUAACUGGGGCGGUUGCCUCCUAAAAUGUAACGGAGGCGCCCAAAGGUUCCCUCAACCUGGACGGCAAUCAGGUGGCGAGUGCAAAGGCAGAAGGGAGCUUGACUGCGAGACCUACAAGUCGAGCAGGGACGAAAGUCGGGCUUAGUGAUCCGGUGGUACCGCAUGGAAGGGCCAUCGCUCAACGGAUAAAAGCUACCCUGGGGAUAACAGGCUUAUCUCCCCCAAGAGUCCACAUCGACGGGGAGGUUUGGCACCUCGAUGUCGGCUCAUCGCAUCCUGGGGCUGAAGUAGGUCCCAAGGGUUGGGCUGUUCGCCCAUUAAAGCGGUACGCGAGCUGGGUUCAGAACGUCGUGAGACAGUUCGGUCCCUAUCCGCCGCGCGCGUAGGAAAUUUGAGAGGAGCUGUCCUUAGUACGAGAGGACCGGGAUGGACGUACCGCUGGUGCACCAGUUGUUCCGCCAGGAGCAUGGCUGGGUAGCUACGUACGGACGGGAUAAGCGCUGAAAGCAUCUAAGCGUGAAACCCUCCCCAAGAUCAGGUUUCUCACCCACUUGGUGGGAUAAGGCCCCCCGCAGAACACGGGUUCAAUAGGUCAGACCUGGAAGCUCAGUAAUGGGUGUAGGGAACUGGUGCUAACCGGCCGAAAACUUACAACA